AGAGUUUGAUCCUGGCUCAGGAUUAACGCUAGCGACGUGCCUAAGGUAUGCAAGUCGAACGAGAAAUCCCGCUUGCGGGAUGGACAGUGGCAGACGGCUGAGUAACACGUUGGAAUCUACCCUAAACACGAGGAUAGCCCACUGAAAGGUGGGGUAAUACUCGAUAGUCUCUUCGGAGUAAAGCUUUUGCGGUUUAGGAUGAGCCUGCGGCCUAUCAGGUAGUUGGUAAGGUAACUGCUUACCAAGCCUAUGACGGGUAGCUGGUCUGAGAGGAUGUCCAGCCAGACUGGGACUGCGAUACGGCCCAGACUCCUACGGGAGGCAGCAACUAGGAAUCAUGCGCAAUGGACGAAAGUCUGACGCUGCGACGUCGCGUGGGGGAUGAAGGUCUUCGGAUCGUAAACUCCUUUUAUUGUGGAGCAAGUUCUGAGAGUACACAAUGAAUAAGUGCCUGCUAACUACGUGCCAGAAGCAUCGGUAAUACGUAGGGCACAAGCGUUAUCCGGUUUUACUGGGCGUAAAGAGAUCGUAGGCGUUUUCGCAAGUCUAAUGUUAAAUAUCAAGGCUCAACCUUGAACAAGCGUUAGAUACUGCGGGAAUUGAGUUAGGUAGAGAAGAGGGGAAUUCCUGGUGGAGCGGUUAAAUGCGUUGAUAUCA
rnacentral:rRNA from 1 species